GAUGAACGCUAGCGGGAGGCCUAACACAUGCAAGCCGAGCGGUAUUUGUUCUUCGGAACAGAGAGAGCGGCGCACGGGUGCGGAACACGUGUGCAACCUGCCUUUAUCUGGGGGAUAGCCUUUCGAAAGGAAGAUUAAUACCCCAUAAUAUAUUGAGUGGCAUCAUUUGAUAUUGAAAACUCCGGUGGAUAGAGAUGGGCACGCGCAAGAUUAGAUAGUUGGUGAGGUAACGGCUCACCAAGUCAAUGAUCUUUAGGGGGCCUGAGAGGGUGAUCCCCCACACUGGUACUGAGACACGGACCAGACUCCUACGGGAGGCAGCAGUGAGGAAUAUUGGACAAGGGGUUAGCGCCUGAUCCAGCCAUCCCGCGUGAAGGACGACGGCCCUAUGGGUGGUAAACUUCUUUUGUAUAGGGAUAAACCUACUCUCGUGAGAGUAGCUGAAGGUACUAUACGAAUAAGCACCGGCUAACUCCGUG
rnacentral:rRNA from 1 species